rnacentral:miRNA from 1 species
UGGGAUUUUGUGGACCAGAAGAUUUCCAUUCUGCGUACGAUAAAUGCUACUGGCCUACUAAGUCCCAACUU